UGCAUGGUGGCCAGCAGUAGUCAGUGCCACUCUGCAAUGGCACAUGUGGCUUCCCACAACAUCCUUUGCCUUUCUGUAGAGAUCUAACCACAUACUUCUUCCCCAGAUGUUUUUUUCUCACUAAUUUUCCAUCAUGCACUUCUCAGAUCCCUCACUGUCCAGACAAUCCAUUGGCUACAGCCCAUGAGCCAGUGAACAAGCACAUAUCUGGACAUUUCUCUUCCCAAACAAAACGUACAACCUAGUGCGCUGCCUGAAGUCCUGCCCGCUAUGACGAUUUCCCUUCCCUGAUGUCUUCUGGGCUGUCCCAGAAAGAGGCUGUGAUGAUGCAGCUGGUCACUCCUAGAGUCUGCUUUGUGGAGAAUCCUCAGUAAACAAGACCCUACUCUUCUCUCCAGUCUGCCACAGGCACCACUGUAAUUUGAGUAAGUUCGCACUAGUGAACUUACAUUCACUAGUGAUGCGUUUUCCAGAUAUUUCUGUUGCUGUGUGUGGCUUUCUGAGUUUCCUUAGGGCUGUUUUAGCAAGGCACCCGAUGAAGAGAUAGGAGAACAUUAGCAGACCCACAGACCAUCAUCUUUCUAUCUGUCACAGCUUGUGACCCAAGUAUAACCACCGUGCUCACUUCCUGCACGUUAUGAGCCUUGAUUAUGAAACACACACACACUUCAACACAUGAAUCCUUUGUGUGUGCGUUUGGAUCCUGAACACUAGGACCGUGGGAGUCUUUCCCCUGGUGGGAAUUGUAAGCCCGGUCAUUCUCAUUGUGUAACAUUCUAGUGUGUUCCACAGUUUGUUUCUAGAUUCCAGAACAGGGGAAUUUGGAUUGAAGCUACCACAGAAAUGCCACCACAGCCGUUCUGGCCCCAGUUGUCAGUCAACGCCUGGACAAAUCACUAUGGGGCACUUUCUUGAGAACCUCUCAUUUUGUGAUAUGUAGCUUUCGAUUUAUUGACAGAUGACUGUGUUCAGUCCCUGGCUGAAACUAGGCAGCUCUAACUUUUCAUUUGCCAUCUGGACUCGGAGCUUAUCUGCAGAGGGAGCUGCGUGGUUCUGAACGAUUUUAGUGAAAAGGCUUUAGAAAGGGGGAUAUGGUGGCUGCCUGGAGAUAGAUCAGAUCUUUUUCUGCAUCAAUCUGGACACAGGGUCCCCCUCACACAAGCUUCGUAAUCUCACCAGAAGGCUGGCUUGCAGCAAUGUCAGGAGACAGUCACACUGACAUCACUGCUCUAUACCUUCAGUACCAGAAAGCUAGAAAGACCACAGGCAAACGGCUUGUUCCCUUUGCAAUGGUGACUAUAAUGUAACAUUUGUUAGAAUUUAUUUUAUUAAUAAGUGAUGUAUGUGGGGGUGUGGCACACGCAUGCACGCAUGCAUGCAUGCAUGCACACACAUGUGAUGCAUAUAGGGUAUGUAGUUUGAGUGUGUGUAGACGCCAGCAAUUGAUAUCUUCCACUAUUGCUCUUCCCUGUUCCUUUAAGAUGGAAUCUCUCACUAAGCCUGAAGCUAGCUGGCUAGCUAGUGAGUUCUCGGGAGUUACUGCCUCUGCCCCCUCCUCCAUUCAAAUGCUGGGUUUACAAACACAGGCAGCAUUUACAUGUGUCCUGGGGAUCUGAACUCAGGUCCUUGUGCUUUCACAGCAAGCACUCUUAGCCACUGAGCCAGCUCCUUAGAUCCAGGAAUAAACUUUAUAAGCCAAAUUUUCAAAAGGCACAAAAUUCCACCAAGGGUUUAUGAUGCAAGUGAGUGGAGAAAGGCCUCAUUCUUGGAUGGGAAGAGUAUAAAAUUGCCAGCUCUCUCUCAAAGUAAAGCAGAUGUGCUCAAAACCCUAAAAGAUUAGGGGUUGGGAGUAGAAAUUCUGUCUUGAAAAGUCAGUUGGCAAGCACUGUGAAAAGGAAGUUGUGAUGCAUGUUCUUGGCUGUCAACUUGACUGCAUCUGAGAUUAACUAAAAUGCAAGUGGCUGGGUACGCCUGGGAGGGAUUUAAUUAAGUCAUAAGAAGUGGGAAGACCUACUUUUAAUCCUGAUGUUUUGAAGCAGAAAAAUCGAUGUUUCAUCUGGACCAUACCUUCUUCUGUCAGCCUAUAUAUAAAGGGCAUUAAUGGUGGAGACAUUCUCUGCUUGCUUCCAUUCUAGCUGGACAGCCCAUUCCUUCACUGCAUUAGAGCCUACUUCUUUUGGGAUUCUGUCGUAUACUGGAGACCAGCUGAGACAGACAGCCUUCUGGACUGAACAACAACUGGAUUCUCAGACUAGUAGACAGCCAUUGUUGGACUCUCUGAACUAUACAGCCUUCUGUUUACAGUUUGAAGAAAACAUCUUAUCUCAUGAGAUAGUAGUAUUAGCAUUAACUAGUAGUAGAGCAUUAAGAGAUGGCUCAGCAGGCAAAGGUGCCGGAUGCCGAGCCCAAUCCCCAGAAUCUGCAUGGUAGAAGGAGAGAACUGACUGCUGCAAGCUGUCCUCUGAUCUGCGUAUGUGCAUCAGGGCAUCUGCACACCCUGCGCCUUCCUCACAAACAAAC
rnacentral:lncRNA from 1 species